rnacentral:rRNA from 1 species
AUCCAACCAGUGGCAACACUGGGGAAGAUCUAGUGGCGAACGGGUGAGUAACACGUGAGGAACCUGCCCCGAAGUCUGGGAUAAGCCCUCGAAAGGGGGUCUAAUACCGGAUGUCCUCAUCAGGUCGCGUGACCGGGUGAGGAAAGGUCCGCCGCUUCGGGAGGGCCUCGCGGCCUAUCAGCUUGUUGGUGAGGUAACGGCUCACCAAGGCGACGACGGGUAGCUGGUCUGAGAGGACGAUCAGCCACACUGGGACUGAGACACGGCCCAGACUCCUACGGGAGGCAGCAGAGGGGAAUCUUGCGCAAUGGGCGAAAGCCUGACGCAGCAACGCCGCGUGCGGGAUGACGGCCUUCGGGUUGUAAACCGCUUUCAGUGGGGACGAAAGCAGACGGUACCCACAGAAGAAGCCCCGGCCAACUACGUGCCAGCAGCCGCGGUAACACGUAGGGGGCGAGCGUUGUCCGGAUUCAUUGGGCGUAAAGAGCUCGUAGGCGGCUCAGUAAGUCGGGUGUGAAACCCUCAGGCUCAACCUGGGGACGCCACUCGAUACUGCUGUGGCUAGAGUCCAGUAGGGGAGUGUGGAAUUCCCGGUGUAGCGGUGAAAUGCGCAGAUAUCGGGAGGAACACCAGCGGCGAAGGCGGCACUCUGGGCUGGUACUGACGCUGAGGAGCGAAAGCGUGGGUAGCAAACAGGAUUAGAUACCCUGGUAGUCCACGCCGUAAACGUUGGGCACUAGGUGUGGGACCCCUCCAACGGGUUCCGUGCCGUAGCUAACGCAUUAAGUGCCCCGCCUGGGGAGUAC